rnacentral:rRNA from 1 species
UACGGAGGGAGCUAGCGUUGUUCGGAAUUACUGGGCGUAAAGCGCACGUAGGCGGCUUUGUAAGUUAGAGGUGAAAGCCCGGGGCUCAACCCCGGAAUUGCCUUUAAGACUGCAUCGCUUGAAUCCGGGAGAGGUGAGUGGAAUUCCGAGUGUAGAGGUGAAAUUCGUAGAUAUUCGGAAGAACACCAGUGGCGAAGGCGGCUCACUGGACCGGUAUGACGCUGAGGUGCGAAAGCGUGGGGGAGCAAACAGG